GUCUAUGGCCAUACCACCCUGAAAUGCACUAGAUGUCAUCUGAUCUCGGAAGCUAAGCAGGGUCGGGCCUAGUUAAUACUUGGAUGGGAGAAAAUAUGUUCAAACU
rnacentral:rRNA from 2 species